rnacentral:rRNA from 1 species
CCCUUAGAUGUUCUGGACCGCACGCGCGCUACACUGAUGCAUUCAACAAGCCUAGCCUUGACCGAGAGGUCCGGGUAAUCUUUGAAACUGCAUCGUGAUGGGGCUAGAUUAUUGCAAUUAUUAAUCUUCAACGAGGAAUGCCUAGUAAGCGUGAUUCAUCAAACCGCGUUGAUUACGUCCCUGCCCUUUGUACACACCGCCCGUCGCUCCUACCGAUUGAAUGUGUUGGUGAGGAGCUCGGAUUGGCAGCAGUUGGUGGUUCGCCACCGGCUAUUGCUGAGAAGUCCUCCAAACCGCCCCAUUUAGAGGAAGGAGAAGUCGUAACA